rnacentral:rRNA from 1 species
UACAGAGGUCCCGAGCGUUGUUCGGAUUCAUUGGGCGUAAAGGGUGCGUAGGCGGUCUGCUAAGGUUGAUGUGAAAUCCCGGGGCUCAACCCUGGAAUGGCAUUGAAUACUGGUGGACUAGAGUACUGGAGAGGAAACUGGAAUUUACGGUGUAGCAGUGAAAUGCGUAGAGAUCGUAAGGAAGACCAGUGGCGAAGGCGAGUUUCUGGACAGUAACUGACGCUGAGGCACGAAGGCCAGGGGAGCAAACGGG